rnacentral:rRNA from 1 species
GUUUUUGGUCAUAUCACCCUGAAUGUGCCCAGUCUCAUCUGAUCUCAGAAGUUAAGCAGGGUCAGUGUGGUUAGUACCUGGAGGAGAAAAUUGGAAUGGGGAGAGGAUGAAAGAG